rnacentral:rRNA from 1 species
CCUACGGGAGGCAGCAGUGGGGAAUUUUGGACAAUGGGCGCAAGCCUGAUCCAGCCAUGCCGCGUGCGGGAAGAAGGCCUUCGGGUUGUAAACCGCUUUUGUCAGGGAAGAAAAGGUUCUGGUUAAUACCUGGGACUCAUGACGGUACCUGAAGAAUAAGCACCGGCUAACUACGUGCCAGCAGCCGCGGUAAUACGUAGGGUGCAAGCGUUAAUCGGAAUUACUGGGCGUAAAGCGUGCGCAGGCGGUUAUGCAAGACAGAGGUGAAAUCCCCGGGCUCAACCUGGGAACUGCCUUUGUGACUGCAUAGCUAGAGUGCGGCAGAGGGGGAUGGAAUUCCGCGUGUAGCAGUGAAAUGCGUAGAUAUGCGGAGGAACACCGAUGGCGAAGGCAAUCCCCUGGGCCUGCACUGACGCUCAUGCACGAAAGCGUGGGGAGCAAACAGGAUUAGAUACCCUGGUAGUCCACGCCCUAAACGAUGUCAACUGGUUGUUGGGAGGGUUUCUUCUCAGUAACGUAGCUAACGCGUGAAGUUGACCGCCUGGGGGAGUACGGCCGCGAGUAGAACGACGAAAGAGUAGUAGACGNGUAGAGACGACGACGACGACGACGACGGAGGGAGGAGG